rnacentral:rRNA from 1 species
GAUCAUGGCUCAGGACGAACGCUGGCGGCGUGCCUAACACAUGCAAGUCGAGCGGAGAUGUGCUGACGGAAGGCUUCGGCUGGAAGACGGUGCAUUUUAGCGGCGGACGGGUGAGUAACGCGUGAGCAACCUUUCCUUCACAGGGGGAUAAGAUGCCGAAAGGUGUUCUAAUACCGCAUGAGACCACAGAGCCACAUGGCUCAGGGGUCAAAGGAGCAAUCCGGUGAAGGGUGGG